rnacentral:rRNA from 1 species
AUUGAACGCUGGCGGCAGGCUUAACACAUGCAAGUCGAGCGGGGGAAGGUAGCUUGCUACUGGACCUAGCGGCGGACGGGUGAGUAAUGCUUAGGAAUCUGCCUAUUAGUGGGGGACAACAUCUCGAAAGGGAUGCUAAUACCGCAUACGUCCUACGGGAGAAAGCAGGGGAUCUUCGGACCUUGCGCUAAUAGAUGAGCCUAAGUCGGAUUAGCUAGUUGGUGGGGGUAAAGGCCUACCAAGGCGACGAUCUGUAGCGGGUCUGAGAGGAUGAUCCGCCAAACUGGGACUUAGACACGGCCCAGGAUCCUACGGGAGGGAGAAGUGGGGAAUAUUGGACAAUGGGGGGAACCCUGAUACAGUCAUGCAGCGUGUGUGAAGAAGGCCUUAUGGUUGUAAAGCACUUUAAGCGAGGAGGAGGCUACUUUAGUUAAUACCUAGAGAUAGUGGACGUUACUAGAAGAAUAAGCACCGGCUAACUCUGUGCCAGCAGCCGCGGUAA